CUGGAGCGCUUAGAAGUGAGAAUGCCGGUAUGAGUAGCGAAAGACAGGUGAGAAUCCUGUCCACCGAAUGACUAAGGUUUCCUGGGGAAGGCUCGUCCGCCCAGGGUUAGUCGGGACCUAAGCCGAGGCCGACAGGCGUAGGCGAUGGAUAACAGGUUGAUAUUCCUGUACCCGUUGUUUUUGUUUGAGCAAUGGAGGGACGCAGGAGGCUAAGGAAUGCAGACGAUCGGAAAUGUCUGUCCAAGCAGUAAGUCUGAAGAGGAGUCAAAUGCUUCUUUUCUUAAGGACAAGCUGUGA
rnacentral:rRNA from 1 species